rnacentral:rRNA from 1 species
GAUGAACGCUGGCGGCGUGCCUAAUACAUGCAAGUCGAGCGAACGGACGAGAAGCUUGCUUCUCUGAUGUUAGCGGCGGGCGGGUGAGUAACACGUGGAUAACCUACCUAUAAGACUGGGAUAACUUCGGGAAACCGGAGCUAAUACCGGAUAAUAUUUUGAAUCGCAUGGUUCAAAAGUGAAAGACGGUCUUGCUGUCACUUAUAGAUGGAUCCGCGCUGCAUUAGCUAGUUGGUAAGGUAACGGCUUACCAAGGCAACGAUGCAUAGCCGACCUGAGAGGGUGAUCGGCCACACUGGAACUGAGACACGGUCCAGACUCCUACGGGAGGCAGCAGUAGGGAAUCUUCCGCAAUGGGCGAAAGCCUGACGGAGCAACGCCGCGUGAGUGAUGAAGGUCUUCGGAUCGUAAAACUCUGUUAUUAGGGAAGAACAUAUGUGUAAGUAACUGUGCACAUCUUGACGGUACCUAAUCAGAAAGCCACGGCUAACUACGUG